AGCCAUACCGUCGGCCCCUGCACCCGACCCUGCCGUCCGCCCCUGCACCCAGCCCCAUUGCCCGACCCUGCUCCCAGCCCCGUCGGCCUCUGCACCCGGCCCCGCUGCCCGCCGCUGCGCCCAGUCCCGCCCGCACCUGCACCUAGUCCCGCUGUCUGCACCUAUGCCCAGCCCCGCCGGCCUCUGCACGCAGCCACGCUACCGGCCCCUGCACCCAGCCCCGCCGCUGGUCCUUGUGCCAAGAGGGAGGGAGGGAGGGGUGGGUGGCCAGCCAUGGCGAGGCGUCCGUUAUCCACCGCUCCGACCAGUGUGGAGAAACUAAGAUGGGAGGUGUGACCGUUGGGUCAUGAAGGUGCCUGAUGUGGCGUGUGGUGGUGGAAGCUACAAGGGAUGCGAUAGAUCCGGGCGAAGUUGUGCACGUGGUCUCUAUCUCUGGACCAAAAUCUGCAACUGCGACAUCUCCGCCGCAGCCAUAGCGAGGUUGGUGUCAGUAUUCUCCUGCUAGCUUUCUCGAUGGGAAGCAGGUUGGUUGGCGGCUUCUUUGAACAAACAACAAUCAUUCCCAUUAGCAUAACAAAGUUUGUUAGCUUCAACGUCAAGUAAGUUAACAUGUUUAUGUUUAGCCAAUUCAUUCUCCCAUGUAACCACUGAUGAAAUUUUUCUGUCUUGACAACGCAAGCUAGGAUAGUGACCAAGAGGGAAAAAUCUGAUUCAGUUUCUUACCUAUGUUUACUGCUGAUUUCACUUACCACUUGUGUUCAUGAAGAGAUGUAGCCCUACUUCAAUUUGUUCUCAGAAACCAUGAACAUUUAGUGAUGGUGAUGAAAAAAGAAAGAAAGAGAAGCAGGUAACUAGACAUGUCUUCAGGCCUAGACUAUUACAUUUUGUCAUAAUCUGUCUUAUGAGUACCUUUCUCUUUGUUUCACAAUGUCAUAAUUUUGUCACCAUUGUUACUGAUUUGAAUCUAACCGCAACCAAAUGACCUUGAGCUUUGCACCGGUCUGUGUGUCGUCUCAUGUGCGUGCAAGGACGAGAAGAGCAUCAAGGGCUGGUAUAUUGCACUGAACAAGAACAUAACGUAAUUGCAGGGGGUGUGGUAAGACAAAGUGCAGGAAUGAGAGGAGUGCGUCAAGAACGAGAUGGUGUGCCGUGACAUGUACAUAUAAUUGUUUUUUAUAUAAUGUUUUUCAAAGGAAAAGGACAAAAUGUUUACUAUAAAUUCUGUUGUGUAUAAUUAGGAGCACGCAUUACCUAAAUAAAAAUUAGGUGCACAUAAAUGUUCAUUUAUAGUAUGAAUUAUCAAUUGUCGUUAUAUAUUGCCACAUAAGCGAAUGUAUAUGAGACCAUAUUUUAUCCUUUGUCAUACCUUUCAGAGCUCUCGAGCGUCGGUUCUUGAAAAUCUCAAAACAGGGCUAGUGAUGCUUCUUUGAAAAAAGGAAAUAGAAGCAUGUAAUGUGACCUAAUAUUUUGUUCAUAUUAUUUGUAUUCUUUAAAGCAGCUGCCUUUCAGACCUUGAGCAAAGGUGCCUGGAAACGCAUCCGCCCUCCCCGAGAAGAGGAUGUUCUGUCCCGACCGGCAUACAAUGGGACCAACAGGUUGUUUCAUCACAGAUCCAUGGUUUACAUGAAGAGGGAGGAUGCCGGCAACUGGAAUUCUGGCCUGAAAGUGGAGCAAAGUUGAGAUACCUAUUUUGUACAACUCCAAACGCCGUGAAAAUCAGCGAGGAUUUUUUUCCCGAUUUAUCAAAAAUACUGGACCGAAGAAGA